ACUUACAGCUAUAACAUGUGGAAUACAUCGGUUCUCGUCCAGUCACCGAAGUUAAGCUACGCAGAUCCUAAUUACUACUUAAACGGGUGACCGCUUGAGAAACCUAGUUGCUGUAAGCA
rnacentral:rRNA from 1 species